rnacentral:lncRNA from 1 species
CCGGGCCGGCUCACCCCGUACUGGGCUCACGGCAGGGCCAGGCUUUGCUCGGGGCACCGGCACUGUUGGCCUUUGGCUGUGCCCACAUUCUGGAACCAGGAGCUCUGACCACACACACAGCCUCUCCGGGGGCAGCGACCCUGCAGGGUCGGGAAUUCCCCCAAGCAGCCCUGAUUUCCAAAUUUUCCUUGCUGUGGUCAAGCUGAUCCAGAAAACACGGGAGCGUGAGCUUCCAGCCCCUGGAGGCGUGAUGGGGCAAAGACUUCGAGGAGCAAAUUGGAAGAUUUUUGAAACCAUAUUCCAAAAAGAGCCGCCAGACCACGGGAGGCCAGGAUGGCCAUGAAGUCAUCGUUUACAGGCUUUGGCUUACGAAAGAGUUUUCAAGAAGAGCAAGCGGCGAAAAGCAAGAGUUACU